rnacentral:rRNA from 1 species
AGCGUAGACGGCAUGGCAAGCCAGAUGUGAAAACCCAGGGCUCAACCUUGGGAUUGCAUUUGGAACUGCCAGGCUGGAGUGCAGGAGAGGUAAGCGGAAUUCCUAGUGUAGCGGCGAAAUGCGUAGAUAUUAGGAGGAACACCAGUGGCGAAGGCGGCUUACUGGACUGUAACUGACGUUGAGGCUCGAAAGCGUGGGAGCAAACA